UACGGGGGGGGCAAGCGUUGUUCGGAAUUACUGGGCGUAAAGGGCGCGUAGGCGGCCUUCUAAGUCGGACGUGAAAUCCCUCGGCUUAACCGAGGAACUGCGUCCGAUACUGAAAGGCUUGAAUCCGGCAGAGGGAGGUGGAAUUCCACGUGUAGCGGUGAAAUGCGUAGAGAUGUGGAGGAACACCAAUGGCGAAGGCAGCCUCCUGGGCCAAUACUGACACUCAUGCACGAAAGCGUGGGGAGCAAACAGG
rnacentral:rRNA from 1 species